GUAACAAGGUUUCCGUAGGUGAACCUGCGGAAGGAUCAUUACCGAGUGCAGGUCUGCCCCCGGGCAGGCCUAACCUCCCACCCGUGAAUACCUGACCAACGUUGCUUCGGCGGUGCGCCCCCCCGGGGGUAGCCGCCGGAGACCACACCGAACCUCCUGUCUUUAGUGUUGUCUGAGCUUGAUAGCAAACCUAUUAAAACUUUCAACAAUGGAUCUCUUGGUUCCGGCAUCGAUGAAGAACGCAGCGAACUGCGAUAAGUAAUGUGAAUUGCAGAAUUCAGUGAAUCAUCGAGUCUUUGAACGCACAUUGCGCCCCCUGGCAUUCCGGGGGGCAUGCCUGUCCGAGCGUCAUUGCUGCCCUUCAAGCCCGGCUUGUGUGUUGGGUCGUCGUCCCCCCCGGGGGACGGGCCCGAAAGGCAGCGGCGGCACCGCGUCCGGUCCUCGAGCGUAUGGGGCUUUGUCACCCGCUCGAUUAGGGCCGGCCGGGCGCCAGCCGGCGUCUCCAACCUUCUAUUUUACCAGGUUGACCUCGGAUCAGGUAGGGAUACCCGCUGAACUUAAGCAUAUCA
rnacentral:misc_RNA from 1 species